UACUCAACAUUAAACAUGCCAACAAAUAUUAACUUUUAAAGAAUUUACAAAAUUUUGAGUACAGUUCCAUCUUUCUUCAAAGUAAAAUGUUAAAUUGAAAUGUGGCUUUUCAUCUGAUCAUUGUGGUACUGCAGAACAGGCUGGGACUGGAACCGGAUCCUAAUCAGCUUAAAGCUAGAGACUAUAAUUGACUUGUCCAUUAAUGGAUCAUUGGCAGUUAGCCCAGCAUCAGACACAUAAUAAAAUAGGAUUGCUCAGAGCCUAUGUAUGUCCAAGUUAUAUUCUCACAGGCAGCUUGGGGAGUUCAAUGACAUGGAAAGACCGUGGAAGUGGUUUCCAUUGGCUUUCACUGACACUGAAAGGGAUGAUGACUAAAGCAAUUGAAAUUUCAAGCCCAGGAUUCCUUCCUGAGCCAUUGGGGCAUGCUGGAGUCCCACAGUACCAGAAGUACCUCUUGGCUGACCCCUCCAGCU